ACAUCAAUAAUUGCUUACAGGCUAGAAAAUUUGUCAACUCAUGCAUGUUUUUUGCUGUAAAUGCACCAAAUCAAAUUAAGCUGAGACAGAUUAUAUCCUAACAUUUGACACUUGCAGUUUUGGUUAAUAACAACUUUUUCAUUGAACAAUAAAAAUAUAGUUUUUGUAUCCAUACAAUUAGUUCGGUGAAACUUGUUCACAACAAAUUUCAAUCUUUCAGAUGAGAGAGAAACACAUUUUGUUUUAUAUGAUAAGUUACAGAUGCAAGAUAUAAUUUCUACUUGAU
rnacentral:lncRNA from 1 species